rnacentral:lncRNA from 1 species
GGAAGGGGGACAGCAUUUGCUGAGCACCUGCUCUGUGUCUGAACCCUUCGCUCCGUUUGCCAGGGGAUGUAGCGGAGAGCUCCAGGACCUGGCUUGUGUCCCCAGAGAGCGGCUGGAUCCUCUUUCCUGCCGGCAGCUGGGGAGAUGGCCCCAAAUCACAGUGCCACCAGUGCCACCAGCCCACCUGUUCGCUGCCAUGGAGACCUCAGUCAGGGAUGGACCUCUCAUGGACUGACAUUUGCCCCAGCCU